AUAUCUCUCUGUACGGGAAGGAUGAGAAGCUUCGACUAAGGUUCGAUUCGAGCGCAGCGAGAAAGCGUUGCCGCAGGCAACGACCCGAAGGGCGAA
rnacentral:sRNA from 5 species